UACGAAGGGUGCAAGCGUUAAUCGGAAUUACUGGGCGUAAAGCGUGCGUAGGCGGUUGGUUAAGUCUGUCGUGAAAGCCCUGGGCUCAACCUGGGAAUGGCGAUGGAAACUGGCCAGCUAGAGUGUGAUAGAGGAUGGCGGAAUUCCCGGUGUAGCGGUGAAAUGCGUAGAUAUUGGGGGGAACACCAGUGGCGAAGGCGGCUCACUGGACCGGAACUGACGCUGAGGCGCGAAAGCGUGGGGAGCAAACAGG
rnacentral:rRNA from 1 species